GUGAAUCAUCGAAUCUUUGAACGCAUAUUGCGCCUUCUGGUAUUCCGGUAGGCAUGUCUGUUUGAGCGUCAGCAAAAUCCCCUCUUCGGGUGGAGUAUCCGUAUUACUCCUGCCGGUGUUGGGUCAAGAAGGCUGAUAGGUGACAGUUAUGUCCUUACCCGCCCCUGCCCUAAACUUGCUGUAUGACCGCGAGCCCGUCCAGGCCUGAUUCAAUGGAGUGGUAUUAACAGUCUUCCGAUGAAUCUGCUGGAAGCUCCAGCGGCACUAAAACCUUAGAUUUUCCCCUUUACGGUGAAGGUC
rnacentral:misc_RNA from 1 species